GACCUCUAAUCGGAGAAGACUACCCGCCGAGUUUAA
rnacentral:rRNA from 1 species